GGGCCGACCAGCUCGGGCCGCUGGCACAGUCACGCGCGUCCACACAUCACCCCCGCACCCGCACGCCCGGCAGGGUCCUCGCCUCUUCGCCCCGCGCCGUGCCGCGCAGCCAAGCAUCGUCUGCCCUGUGGGGGCGCAGUUGGAUCUGCCUCCUGGGGAAGUAAGAGCCUGGCCGCCCUUCCAGAUGACCUUCGUUUGGAGAUUGGGUGUGCUCCAGCUGCGGGGGAGAAACAUCUCCAAGGACCUGAUUUUCCCCUUUCUCCUCCAUGUGAAGUUUGGAAGAGUCAGGAAAGAAGAUCACCAAUCAAAAGGAGGAGGCCGAUAUCCAUCCAAAAGCCAUUCAAGCUUCAUUGUCCCCAACUAUUUUGGGCCAGUGUAUCUGCCAAUUGGCACAGAUCCAUUUCCUCACUCCAUAAAGCAAAUGAGCAAAAGAGAAAGUUAGUUCAUAAUAACCCUUCUACAAAGUCGAAGCACAAUCUCACUUCAGGUUUCUAAGGAAUCUGGUUCUUUUCACCUGAAAAUGCCUGUGUAAAGUUCUACUAAAGCAAAGAGGUGUGCAUUUUUGAAUAGCACCACCAUUAAGGAAACACAAAGCUUUUUUUGUUUUAGUCCAGUGGUAUGCACAGUGCCCUGAGGCCUAGGAGCUCUGCAGAGAUGUCUCAGGUGGAUGGGGAAGGUGGAAAGGAGAGCUUUUUCUGUUCUGAGUCCUUGUCUUAGUUUGGGUUUCCCUAGAAGCUGACCAAGAGAAAAGGAUUUAAGUGCAAGUUGUAUAUUUGGGAGGUGAUUCUGGGGUCACCACUUGGGGAGUGAAGAAGUGAGAAAGGGAAGGAAAGGCAACCAACAAAGAGUGUGUUAUCAAUGCAGUUACUACUGUGGGCAGCUAGUGCCUGUGCCUCGUAGGGACCUGUGUGAGCCAGUCUAGAGCACAUACACCGCACACCUGAGGGGUGCGGGAGCUGGGGUAUAAAUACCACAACUCCCUUCAGUCAUUAGUUCAGAGCUGCUUGUGGGGGACGUUAAUUCUCUGGGACUUCCAGCCUGCCAAGAAGUGGCAAAACGACCUCUGGCAGCCAGAAAAAGCCCUUGGGCAGGGAGGGAGUGACAGGGAGCAUGUGCUGGCAGAUGGAAUUUAAUGGAAGGAGCCAAAAUUUUGCAGAACAAGAGAAUAUGCAAGAGAAUAUGUAUACCAUGGGAUACAGCCCCCUAUUCUUAGUCCUCUGAGAAGAGAGGCUUAAAUCUUCUGUUUUACAUAUCCGGGUGGCACUAGAGAUAUACUAAGAAAAAAGAGGUUUUAAAACCUCUGGUCUGAUACAAUGCACUUAUUUUACAAAUAAGGACAUAGAGACCCAGAAAAGAAAGUGUGUAGCAAUGUGGGGACCAGAGCUGAGGUUUCUUGAGCGUCAGACCAGGGCUUUUCCCACGCUGCACACAUUUCGGCCCAAGCCCAUUUUUGCUGCUAUUUCAUUUUUUCCAACUCCUUUUGUUCACAUUGUCCCUGUUCUCCACGUAUGCCCCUGCGACCUUAGCCGACUGUUGCCCAGCAUCAACCACUCGAGCUUCCCACCAGUCACAUAGAAUGCCAUUCUCUUUCCAUCUUUAUCCAACUUCUUUGACAAAAACCUUUUAUUACAUUUGCAAACAGUGACCAAAAAGUAUGAAAACCAGAGGAUUGAUGUUGGCACGACCACUUUGGAAUUAAAUGUAAAUACUCCACUUCACUUGGGCGACAUGCUGGGCUGAUAAAACAGCUUCUGCAAACUCAGGAUCAAGGAGUCUGUUUCCAAUACAGCUGUCUAUUGUCUUUCAUGUUUGAAGAUCAUUCAAAAGGCUUUGGGCUGCUUUAUACACGAACAUGUGGAUGUCUUAAUUUAUAAAAAACACUGUGCAUCCUAUUAAUCUCGGCAUCCUCAGUACCCAGGACUCUUUCUAGACCACAAUAAGUGCUCAAUAAAUGU
rnacentral:lncRNA from 1 species